GGUGCUUGCACCGAGAUUCAACAUGGAACGAGUGGCGGACGGGUGAGUGACACGUGGGUAACCUGCCCUUAAGUGGGGGAUAACAUUUGGAAACAGAUGCUAAUACCGCAUAGAUCCAAGAACCGCAUGGUUCUUGGCUGAAAGAUGGCGUAAGCUAUCGCUUUUGGAUGGACCCGCGGCGUAUUAGCUAGUUGGUGAGGUAAUGGCUCACCAAGGCGAUGAUACGUAGCCGAACUGAGAGGUUGAUCGGCCACAUUGGGACUGAGACACGGCCCAAACUCCUACGGGAGGCAGCAGUAGGGAAUCUUCCACAAUGGACGCAAGUCUGAUGGAGCAACGCCGCGUGAGUGAAGAAGGCUUUCGGGUCGUAAAACUCUGUUGUUGGAGAAGAAUGGUCGGCAGAGUAACUGUUGUCGGCGUGACGGUAUCCAACCAGAAAGCCACGGCUAACUACGUGCCAGCAGCCGCGGUAAUACGUAGGUGGCAAGCGUUAUCCGGAUUUAUUGGGCGUAAAGCGAGCGCAGGCGGUUUUUUAAGUCUGAUGUGAAAGCCCUCGGCUUAACCGAGGAAGCGCAUCGGAAACUGGGAAACUUGAGUGCAGAAGAGGACAGUGGAACUCCAUGUGUAGCGGUGAAAUGCGUAGAUAUAUGGAAGAACACCAGUGGCGAAGGCGGCUGUCUGGUCUGUAACUGACGCUGAGGCUCGAAAGCAUGGGUAGCGAACAGGAUUAGAUACCCUGGUAGUCCAUGCCGUAAACGAUGAAUGCUAGGUGUUGGAGGGUUUCCGCCCUUCAGUGCCGCAGCUAACGCAUUAAAGCAUUCCGCCUGGGGAGUACGACCGCAAGGUUGAAACUCAAAGGAAUUGACGGGGGCCCGCACAAGCGGUGGAGCAUGUGGUUUAAUUCGAAGCACGCGAAGAACCUUACCAGGUCUUGACAUCUUUUGAUCACCUGAGAGAUCAGGUUUCCCCUUCGGGGGCAAAAUGACAGGUGGUGCAUGGUUGUCGUCAGCUCGUGUCGUGAGAUGUUGGGUUAAGUCCCGCAACGAGCGCAACCCUUAUGACUAGUUGCCAGCAUUUAGUUGGGC
rnacentral:rRNA from 1 species